rnacentral:rRNA from 1 species
UACGUAGGGGGCAAGCGUUGUCCGGAAUCAUUGGGCGUAAAGAGCGCGUAGGCGGCCAGAUAAGUCCGGUGUGAAAGUCAAAGGCUCAACCUUUGAAUGCCGCUGGAAACUGUCUGGCUAGAGUCCGGGAGGGGCGAGUGGAAUUCCUGGUGUAGCGGUGAAAUGCGCAGAUAUCAGGAGGAACACCAAUGGCGAAGGCAGCUCGCUGGAACGGUACUGACGCUGAGGCGCGAAAGCGUGGGAGCAAACAGG